rnacentral:tRNA from 1 species
UUUUAUUUAGUUUAAUAUGAAAAUUUUGGCUUGUCAAGUCACGGAUUGAAGGAGUUUCAAAUAAAAC